rnacentral:rRNA from 1 species
UUUAUGGAGAGUUUGAUCCUGGCUCAGAGUGAACGCUGGCGGCGUGCCUAAUACAUGCAAGUCGAACGAUGAAGCUUCUAGCUUGCUAGAAGUGGAUUAGUGGCGCACGGGUGAGUAACGCAUAGGUCAUGUGCCUCUUAGUUUGGGAUAGCCAUUGGAAACGAUGAUUAAUACCAGAUACUCCCUACGGGGGAAAGAUUUAUCGCUAAGAGAUCAGCCUAUGUCCUAUCAGCUUGUUGGUAAGGUAAUGGCUUACCAAGGCUAUGACGGGUAUCCGGCCUGAGAGGGUGAACGGACACACUGGAACUGAGACACGGUCCAGACUCCUACGGGAGGCAGCAGUAGGGAAUAUUGCUCAAUGGGGGAAACCCUGAAGCAGCAACGCCGCGUGGAGGAUGAAGGUUUUAGGAUUGUAAACUCCUUUUGUUAGAGAAGAUAAUGACGGUAUCUAACGAAUAAGCACCGGCUAACUCCGUGCCAGCAGCCGCGGUAAUACGGAGGGUGCAAGCGUUACUCGGAAUCACUGGGCGUAAAGAGCGCGUAGGCGGGAUAGUCAGUCAGGUGUGAAAUCCUAUGGCUUAACCAUAGAACUGCAUUUGAAACUACUAUUCUAGAGUGUGGGAGAGGUAGGUGGAAUUCUUGGUGUAGGGGUAAAAUCCGUAGAGAUCAAGAGGAAUACUCAUUGCGAAGGCGACCUGCUGGAACAUUACUGACGCUGAUUGCGCGAAAGCGUGGGGAGCAAACAGGAUUAGAUACCCUGGUAGUCCACGCCCUAAACGAUGGAUGCUAGUUGUUGGAGGGCUUAGUCUCUCCAGUAAUGCAGCUAACGCAUUAAGCAUCCCGCCUGGGGAGUACGGUCGCAAGAUUAAAACUCAAAGGAAUAGACGGGGACCCGCACAAGCGGUGGAGCAUGUGGUUUAAUUCGAAGAUACACGAAGAACCUUACCUAGGCUUGACAUUGAGAGAAUCCGCUAGAAAUAGUGGAGUGUCUGGCUUGCUAGACCUUGAAAACAGGUGCUGCACGGCUGUCGUCAGCUCGUGUCGUGAGAUGUUGGGUUAAGUCCCGCAACGAGCGCAACCCCCUUUCUUAGUUGCUAACAGGUCAUGCUGAGAACUCUAAGGAUACUGCCUCCGUAAGGAGGAGGAAGGUGGGGACGACGUCAAGUCAUCAUGGCCCUUACGCCUAGGGCUACACACGUGCUACAAUGGGGUGUACAAAGAGAAGCAAUACUGCGAAGUGGAGCCAAUCUUCAAAACGCCUCUCAGUUCGGAUUGUAGGCUGCAACUCGCCUGCAUGAAGCUGGAAUCGCUAGUAAUCGCAAAUCAGCCAUGUUGCGGUGAAUACGUUCCCGGGUCUUGUACUCACCGCCCGUCACACCAUGGGAGUUGUGUUUGCCUUAAGUCAGGAUGCUAAAUUAGCUACUGCCCACGGCACACACAGCGACUGGGGUGAAGUCGUAACAAGGUAACCGUAGGUGAACCUGCGGUUGGAUCACCUCCUUU